AAAACAAACAGUGGAAGAGUUGGGUGCAGUUGUUAUUGGUGUCCUACUACCAAUAAUGUUAGUCACAAGAGGUGAUCUCGUUUGUAAUUGCUCUAGCUAUCUUCGUGAGUAUUUUAGUAAAAGUCGUACGUGACUAGCUAUCUAUAUCUUAUGAAGAGUGAACUACCCUGAAUGUUAGGAAUGUGUAGACAUGUCAGGGACUAUAUCUUGCUGCAUUGAGGAUGUCUCCAUUCCCUUUGAUUAUCUUUGUUGCCACAGACUUGAAAAGCAGCCAGAAGGCCAGGGUUGGUAAAACAUGUUUUUCCUCUAAAACUAGCUAGUUUAGCUCGCUACAAGGUGGCAUCAAGACGUUAGCAAUAAAUAGCUAAAAUACCAAACUACUAAACUAAUUAUGUAAUGAAUUUGACAUUAUGUGGUUGAUUCUGAUUGUGGCUACCGAUUUUUUUGAUGAAUUUUGAUUUAUCAACUACAAAUCCUGUUGAUGGGCGGUGGUAACUAACGUUAGCUAGCUAAGUAGCUAACGCGUUAGUUAUGUAGUUAGCUAGCGCAAAGAACCACAUUUAAUGAGGUAAGAGUUUAUUGUUAAGCAUUUUAAAAUAGUUACUAUAUUAAGGUAUGCCAUUUAAAUUAUUUCGAGUGUUCACCUGUAUCUCCGGACUCCAUAGUUGCAGCUAACCAGAUCUGUAUUCCCUGAUACGAGCUAUCUGUUGCUAAGCUAGGUAGCGCUUCGCUAGUUUCCGCUUCCUGUUCGUCUCGCAAAUCGAUUAAUUGUGUCGUUUGUCGCUACCCGUACACGUUCCCUCUCGGUUGUCUGGUAGAGAAUCCGAAGAUGGCUGAAGCUCCCCCACGGUCCUGCCGGUUUUUCUGUCACCGAUGUUCAGCAGAGAUCAACCCUCGUCUCCCGGCGGUGCUCCCAGGUGCCAGCCUGCUGGUCCACCUCCUCGUCACUGUCGUACUCGUGGGAGUGGUCUUGCACCGCCUUCUCCUGCAUCUCCGCCAUCGCACGCUUAUGCUUCAUGAUCAUGUCAAACAUCUCCUGCAUCUGCGGUGGGAACACAGACACACCACACACACGCAUGUGCAGGCCGGACACACACCUCAGGCAAGGUUUCAGGGACAGAUUGCAAGGUGGUUGAGAACGGACGCAACCGAGCCCAUCUGAUUUUGUUAAAGGUUUGAAGUAUGCUAUGCACCGCCAUACCAAACCAAGGAUUAACACCGCCCAGUCCCCGACAAUUCCAACUGGGAAAGUACAAGACUUGUUUAUCUCCCUCACCAACUUCAAACAUCUAUCUGAGCAGCUAACCGAUCGCUGCAGCUGUACAUAGUCUAUCGAGGGACACGGGCUGGGCUCUGGCUCCUCCUCCUUGGGGAUGAUGAUGGGUUGCAGUGACAGAUCCACCUUGUCGUCCUCCG